UGACAGGAUGAGGGAGGGUUAUGUGACAGGGUGAGUGUGGCGUGGCUUGGCAGGAUGAGUGACAGGAUAGAAGUUAAUGUGAUAGGGUGAAGAGGGAUGAGUUUGACAGGGUUAUGGGUUAUGUGUUGCACGGCUGGAGGAGGGAGUGUGACGAGGCAAGGGAAAGUGAGUCAGACAGGAUUAUGUGACAGGGUGAGUGUGGCAUGGUUGGGCCCAAUUGGAAGGGUUAAUGUGAAAAAGGAUGAGUGUGACAGGGUUGGGGGUGAGUGUGACAGUAUGAGAGAAGAUGAGUGUGAUAGGAUUAGGGGGAUUAAUGUGAUAGGGUGAGUGUAGAAGAGCGAGGGCCGGUAAUUGUG